UGCCCGAUGGUGUAAUGGUAGCACUAGAGGUUUUGAUCCUCUCAGUCAAGGUUCGAGCCCUUGUCGGGCAACCA
rnacentral:tRNA from 1 species